rnacentral:rRNA from 3 species
ACUUCAGGACGGGGACAACAGUUGGAAACGACUGCUAAUACCCGAUGUGCCGAAAGGUGAAACCUAAUUGGCCUGGAGAAGAGCUUGCGUCUGAUUAGCUAGUUGGUGGGGUAAAGGCCUACCAAGGCGACGAUCAGUAGCUGGUCUGAGAGGAUGAGCAGCCACACUGGGACUGAGACACGGCCCAGACUCCUACGGGAGGCAGCAGUGGGGAAUUUUCCGCAAUGGGCGAAAGCCUGACGGAGCAACGCCGCGUGAGGGAGGAAGGUCUUUGGAUUGUAAACCUCUUUUCUCAAGGAAGAAGUUCUGACGGUACUUGAGGAAUCAGCCUCGGCUAACUCCGUGCCAGCAGCCGCGGUAAUACGGGGGAGGCAAGCGUUAUCCGGAAUUAUUGGGCGUAAAGCGUCCGCAGGUGGUCAGCCAAGUCUGCCGUCAAAUCAGGUUGCUUAACGACCUA